GGGCAUGCGUGUGUGCGUGUGGGGCAUGCGUGGGGGGCACGUGCGCGCGCGCGCGCGUGUGUGUGUGUGUAUGCAGAGAAUUCUAGAUGGAGAGUCAAAGGGAAACCAAGAGAUUCAGAAAAGGGACACCACCUUCUCACCUUCCUUCUACCCCCUCCUGCUCAUCCAAGGAGGAAAGGAACCUGAUCCCUCUGGAGUCGGCUACCCAGCCCCACUCUGGCUCUCAUCAGCUCCCGGAUGUCCCGUGGCAUCUGAGUGUGCACAGCCUCGUGGUUCAGCCACUGUGCAUGGCCUGCCAUUCUCCUCCAGGACUCUUACACUUCCUGUGAGCACCCUCCAGCUCUCAGUGUAUUUCCCCAAAUACUCAGAACAAUGUCUCCCAGUCGGCAAAGCUCAACCAGUGUUGGUGAGAUUUGAAACCAAACCAUGUUAGUGUAUGAAAAUAAACACAAGCAUCAGGCCUCAUCUGACUCCAUUCAAUGCAAUCUCUCUAAGAAGAAGAGUUUCUGUAACAUAUGAAGGGAGGAUAAGAGGUAACAAGCCUGAAGACGAUGUCUUUUUGAAUGGCUCUUGAGGCUGCUGGUGAUGCUUCUGCCUCGGAAAUCUUAAAUGUGGAGUUUCCUCCCCCCAGCAAGCAUUUCAAUAAUGAUAAAGGUUAAGUGAAAUAGUCUGAAAAUGUUUGAUAGACUGAAACUCUAAAGAGAUGCUGAAUUGUAUUAUGGGUCCCAGACAGAUCAUUGUAAACCUCUUGUUCCACCCGAAGUGUUGUUUGUGUAUAACACGUGUCAAGGGUUUCCACUCUGGGGAACAAAAGCACAAAAGUUUCACUGAAGCCCUUUGGCCUAAUCCUCUUAAGAGCUGUUGAAGCCUCCCUGAAUUGAUCAGAGGCAGUCAAGUGCUUUCUUAAGACAGGAGGCUCUUUCAAGUUUUCUUACUGCUCCUAGUCCUGACAAACCCACUCAAGUUUCCUUGCUACCCCUUCACCAUCACCCAUACGACACUUGGAGCCAGAGAUUUUGCUCGAGGUCACAGUGGCAGGAAGCGGCUAGGCAGGGAUCUUUCUAGAAUCCACUAUCCUUCCACAGGGCCAAAAGGAGCUAAGACUGCACAAUCACAAUGGGUGCAUGCUGCAGAGGCCUCUGAAAACACAGGUUUUGACUGGACCUUGCAGGAAGAACAGGACAGUGUCUGAGCAAGAGUUUUGUGUACAAGAAGGAGUGGCAGGUCUGGGAGUGGAAUCAGGAAAAUCAGCUGCCCCUCCUGGCACAGGUGCAUAACCCAGGACUGAAGUAAUAAGACCAAAUGCCCUAAUGAUCUUUGUGAUUCACAGCCUAGCACAGUGCCUCAUGUAGUGGCUAUUCAGUUGAGUGGAUAGGUGGGGUGGAAAGGAACAGAUAGAUUUAAGAGAAGUCUGGAUAGUAGACACAUAAAAUGUAGGACUGGUUGAAAGAUGAGGAUAAAAAAGAGUAAACUAUGGCUUUAGACACAGAGACAUCAGCGGAUGCGAGGGGUGGGAGGGAGUCCAGAUGAGCAUCAACUGUGGGUUACGAGGAACAACCGUGUCGCUGUGUGGCCACAGAUCUUUUCCUCCUCAGAGGCAAAUACACCCAUUAGGAACAUACCCUUGGCUGAAAGCCAAUCUGGUUUGGCCCUUGAAACUCUGGGCAUCAUUUGCACAGAGCUGUCAUCCUAGGUGGUGAGCUUCAUUUUGCCAGUAGCAUCUACUGAGACAGAGUUUGUUACUCAAACAUCUAAGUAGCUCUGUUUUAAAGAUAAAUUUCUUUUCUGCAGAUUAAUUCAGCUGAUGAAUUAGGUAGCCAAAAAACCUCUAAAAAGAAAAAGAAAAAAGAAAAACCUCAACCCUUAAUUCUAUAGCUUCCUUUAAAAAGCGGGGAGGGGGAAGACACCAAAUAAAUCCAAGCUCACCGACCUUCCA
rnacentral:lncRNA from 13 species